rnacentral:misc_RNA from 1 species
AAAAGAAUGCAUUAUGCUGGUACUUCCAUAUCUGUAUUUGUCAAACGGCAAAGAAUGGAACUUGUUAAAUAAAGUAAAGAUAUUAAACAAUCUAUAAUAAACAAUGAUGAGCCUACUGCUACUGCAAUCGAAGCUUGUACAAAAAAAUUAUCCCAAAAAUGUGAGAAAAGUAUGUUAACAGAACCUGUUGUAAUAGUAGAAAAAUCAGUCCAG